rnacentral:rRNA from 1 species
UACGAAGGGGGGCUAGCGUUGCUCGGAAUCACUGGGCGUAAAGCGCACGUAGGCGGCUUUUUAAGUCAGAGGUGAAAUCCUGGAGCUCAACUCCAGAACUGCCUUUGAUACUGGAGAGCUUGAGUCCGGGAGAGGUGAGUGGAACUGCGAGUGUAGAGGUGAAAUUCGUAGAUAUUCGCAAGAACACCAAUGGCGAAGGCAGCUCGCUGGGACGGUACUGACGCUGAGACGCGAAAGCGUGGGGAGCAAACAGG